GCUGGCGUGGCGGAAUGGCAGACGCGCUCGACUCAAAAUCGAGUCCUAACGGGUGUAGUUCGAAUUCUCUCGUCGGUAC
rnacentral:tRNA from 1 species